CAUUUUUCAUCAGGCUAGAAAAACGCCCCGACCUACUUGAUGCCACGAGUACCUACGACUAGCAUCAUGGGCUGCUACGACCUACCUACGACCUCCAACGACCGUGCUGCGGGUAUGAGUCAAGAGAAAACUCGGUAGAGGUCGUGAAUUAGGUCGUGAAAGUGGGACAGGCCCUUAAGACAAGGGAAGAUGAUGCUU